rnacentral:piRNA from 1 species
UGGAUCUGUCCAAUGGAGUUUGCUGGGUGG